rnacentral:rRNA from 1 species
UACGUAGGGGGCGAGCAUUGUCCGGAUUUACUGGGCGUAAAGCGCGCGUAGGCGGAUCGUUAAGUCGGGGGUGAAAUCCUGGAGCUCAACUCCAGAACUGCCUUCGAUACUGGCGAUCUCGAGUCCGGAAGAGGUGAGUGGAACUCCUAGUGUAGAGGUGGAAUUCGUAGAUAUUCGCAAGAACACCAGUGGCGAAGGCGGCUCACUGGCCCGGUACUGACGCUGAGGUGCGAAAGCGUGGGGAGCAAACAGG